CUUCUUGGCUGAGUUAGUGAUCGGCUGAGACAAUUUACUGAUAUUUUGGAGAUAUUCAUGUCACUAAGUACUGAAGCUAAAGCAAAAAUCCUGGCUGAGUUUGGCCGUGGUGAA
rnacentral:ncRNA from 1 species